rnacentral:tRNA from 1 species
GCCCCGAUCGCAUAGUGGUUAUUGCGCCGGUUUGCUAAACCGGGCCCUUUGGGCUCGCAGGUUCAAUUCCUGCUCGGGGCG